UCCCUGGUGGCUCAGACGGUAAAGCGUCUGCCUGCAAUCCAGGAGAUCCGGGUUCGAUUCCUGGGUCGGGAA
rnacentral:tRNA from 1 species